rfam:Schistosoma curassoni strain Dakar, Senegal genome assembly, scaffold: SCTD_scaffold0013744
AUCCAGCUGACGAACCUCAAAUAGGACGAAACAUGCGUCCUAGAU